UACAGAGGGUGCGAGCGUUGUUCGGAAUUAUUGGGCGUAAAGAGCUCGUAGGCGGUCUGUCGCGUCGGCUGUGAAAACCCGGGGCUCAACCCCGGGCCUGCAGUCGAUACGGGCAGACUAGAGUGCGGUAGGGGAGAUUGGAAUUCCUGGUGUAGCGGUGGAAUGCGCAGAUAUCAGGAGGAACACCAAUGGCGAAGGCAGAUCUCUGGGCCGUAACUGACGCUGAGGAGCGAAAGCAUGGGGAGCGAACAGG
rnacentral:rRNA from 1 species